CAGCCACAUCACAUUGAAACACCAGUUCCUGUAUGAUCACUGAAGUUAAACAACAUCAAGCCUGACCAGUACUUAGAUGGGUAACUGUUUGGGAAUACCAGGUGCUGUAAU